rnacentral:rRNA from 1 species
UACGGAGGGUGCAAGCGUUAUCCGGAUUUACUGGGUUUAAAGGGUGCGUAGGCGGCCCUGUAAGUCAGUGGUGAAAUCUCUCAGCUUAACUGAGAAACUGCCAUUGAUACUGCAGGGCUUGAGUACAGAUGAUGUUGGCGGAAUAUGACAUGUAGCGGUGAAAUGCAUAGAUAUGUCAUAGAACACCGAUUGCGAAGGCAGCUGACAAAACUGUAACUGACGCUGAGGCACGAAAGUGUGGGGAUCAAAACAGG